AACAGGGGUCAGGACGUGGACACGUCUCUCUGGGGGACACAAUUCAACCCACAACAUCAUCCACACCCCAAAAUGGAGCACAGACAGCUGAGGGCUAGGCCUGGCAUCUGCACACGGGUCCCCGGGAGGGUCCAGGUCCGUGACGCCCCCUCUGUGGGCCACCGUGGCCCUGAAAGCCUCCCCGUCCUCCCAGCACUGGGGCUGGGCCAGCUCCUAGCCUGAGGCCUUGUGACCCCGACCAGGAGGGUGGGGCCAGACCCAUGAGUGGGGUGGGGGACCCAGCUGCUCUUCCCGGCCCCUGGGUGAGCCUAAGCUGAGGGGAAGAUCUGAGUCUCCCCGACCUUGACCCCCGCAGCCUUCGGCCUCAGAGCAGCCGCCACGGGGCCCGCACGCUGGUGGACAGGAAAGCCUGGGGGGCCGGGCAUGGGGGCACGCCGCGGCAGCCCGGGCUGGGGGCUCCCCCUCUGGGCCGGGGCCUCCUCACCUGCAGUACAGCAUUGUGGACACAAGCACAAAGGCCCAGAACCGAGUCGCAGGUUCGCUGUAGUGGCCGCGGCCCCGGCCAAGCCCCUCAAUUAGCCGGAGUCCUCUGGUGGCCGCAGGACGGCGAGCGGCUCCUCCCGGGAGCCCAGCGGGGGAGAGAAUCCAGCUUCCGCCCCGUCCUCCUGGGGCCUGACCCCGGGACGCUUGCAUCAUGGAAACUGCUUCUGGAAACCCCGUUGCCCGAGCCGCCCAGGCCCCGGGGAGCCAGGGAUGCAAGCCCGGCCGGCGGCACCUGGGUGGACGUGCCGCUGCCUCUCCCCUGGGACCCCCUUCGCCUCGCAGGGCUGGUGAGCAAGAGCCGUGAUGUCACUAGGAACCCGCGAGGCUGCCAGGCGCCCGGCGCGAAGGCCCCUCCUGGCCAGCUGGGCACUGACGCAAAUCAAAAGCUCGCAGCUCUGAGGAGCGGCCCGGUCCCGGCCAGCGGCCCGAGGUGCGCCACGGGGAGGGGUGCGGGUGGCAGAGGGCCCCGGGGCCCUGGC
rnacentral:lncRNA from 1 species